rnacentral:lncRNA from 1 species
GCAAGGGUCCCUGGUUCGAGCCCAGGUUGGGGCGAAGAGAGGGACGGAACCUACACUGUUACACAAGCAUAGCAGCAAAGGCUGGACAAAUAUUAUUGAUCUCUUACUUUGUUAUAAUAUGUAAACGUUCUAUAUACAGCAAGCUAACAACACGGAGCCUAACGUUAGCUUGCUAGGUGCUGGCAGGAUGUCAUGUCAUUGGAGGAGUUGGUGAGUGACAGACAUUUCCACUCAUAUGGUUGUUCGUUGCCUACAGCGAGAUAUGCAGGUGUCAUUUGGUUAACGUUAGCUAGCAAGAAAUGUGAAUCGCUAUGGCAUGCGUUGGCAGGCAAACUGCAAAACGAUGAGCUCUAGCUGGCAUUAAUUGUUGAUCUUGUUGUUCUUGACUUGUCCAUAGGCAACUGAGGGAGAGAGAGCCUACCUUUUCAUGGUUGUUUGAUCAAUAGGACUGUGAAUUUCCCAAAUACUCCGUGACAUGAUGACCUCUUCCUAAAUAUUUGGUCAAAUUAUUAAUUGUGUAUGGUUUCCUAGAAACAAGGGUGGCUCAAUUUACCCCUAUGGCUCAACUUACUCCACUCUCCCCUAAACAAUUUGUUUAGUACUGUAGGUCUAGUGAGUUCUAAAUGGAAAAAGAGAAUCCAGUUCCAUCUAGUGGUAGUAUAAGUAAAAUCACUAGUUUCUGUUACAGUAACACUGUAAAAGCAUUGGUUACUAAAUGAGACAAAAUCAUUAUUGUUACCAUCAACAUGUCUUUCAUUACAGUAUAAUACAGCCAACACUGUGACUGCACAACAAACAGUUUUACCAACAAUAAAACAGAUCCUGUUCAGAAUGAUCUUGUUUGCACAGUAAACUGGCAAAAUUGAGGACAAUAUCUAUAUUUUCUUAAUUUGUUUAAUUGCACAAACAUAGGAUAUGACAAUCAUAGAGUUGAAAGAAAUACAUGUGCAGGAGAAGGAGAAGUAAGAAACCCAAUAUGGCGUGGAAACUGGUGUCUGAGCGUUUCCCCUCCCUGGAUGGUUUGUUUGCUGGUCUCUCUAUAGGCUGGUUUGUUUAACCUCACUGGCCUCUCCAGCUUCCAUUCCUACAGCUGUGUUCUCAUACCAACCACCAUCUUCCUCUCUGCAUGACAAAAACAUGGGCUUUACAAUGAGCGUGUGUAGUUUGAUAACCUACUGUCUAGGACUGCAGCAGUUGAACAUUUCAUAAGAAAAUACACUUGUUUGUGAGAUCCUGAUAAGUCAGUUAAGGACAACGGGAAGUCACAAUAUUAAAGUAUGAAAAGAUUAUGUCAGUGAAGAGUCAGGCAGUGGUGGAAAAGUACCCAAUUGUCAUACUUGAGUAAAAGAAAAUGCCUCAAGUGAAAGUCACCCAGUAAAAUUCUACUUGAGUAAAAGUCUAAAUGUAUUUGGUUUUAAAUAUAGUUAAGUAUCAAAAGUAAAUGUAAUUGCUCAAAUUUACAUAAGUAUAAAAAGUAAAAGUAUAAAUCAUUUCAAAUUGCUUAUAUUAAGCAAACCAAACACCAUAUUACUUGUUUUUUAUUUUAUUUACGGAGAACCAGGGGCAGCUCCAACACUCAGACAUAUUUACAAACAAAGCAUUUAUGUUUAGUGAGUCUGAGGCAUUAGGAAUGACCAGGGGUGUUCUCUUGAUAAGUGUGUGAAUUUGACCAUUUUCCUGUCCUGCUAAGCAUUCAAAAUGUAACGAUUACUUUUGGGUGUCAGGGAAAAUGUAUGGAUUAAAAAGUAAAUUAUUUUAUUCAGGAAUGUAGUAAAAUAAAUGUAGAAGUUGACAAAUAUAAAUAGUAAAGUACAGAUACCCAAAAAACAACCUAAGUAGUACUUUAAAGUAUUUUUACUAAAGUACUUUAAACCACUGGAGUCAGGUUGCUGUUACACAAGGCACCUCUGGUCAUCUCUGUGGACUUGUUGUUGUAGUC